CGCCUGGUAGCACAUUGGUUAGUGUGUCUUGUAGCAGAAUCAAUUUAUAUAGAAGAUUCCCGUUCGACUCGGGGUCAGGCGA